rnacentral:piRNA from 1 species
AACAUUGUCUUUCUUUUGUAGCA